AAAUCAUCAGUGCUGGCCGAGCGAAACGUUCUUUUUCUCAGCCAGCACAGAGUGGUGAAAGGUUUAAGCAAUUAAAAGAAGAAGAAAGGAAAAGACUCAACAAAACACUGCCUGGUGAGGAGGUUCAAGUUCUUGCUUCUACGACUGGGUCAGAUGACAAAUCGGACGAAGAGUCAAAAGAUAAGGAUGAACUCCUAGAAGAGGCUUAUUCUUCUAGUACCGCUAAACAACUACCCGAUUAUUCUGGCCCAAGAAAAGGUAAAAGAUCAAAGCGCAAGCGCACAGUACAGUAGCCUACAAUAGCAGCAUACAGCCCCGGUUAGUCGCGAAUCUUCGUGCUGGUUGCAUCUUAAUGCAAGUAUUUUGGCAUUUUUGUUUCGGCCUGAUAUGAUGUAAGUUUUGAUAGCAAUCCUGAAUCAAAAGUAGGGCAGCGGUGGAAAAUGAAAAUCUACACGACCGAUCCGGUAUUGCCGUCUUUUGCUCUUUUCUUAAAUGUGAUGUAUACAUGUAUAUCGCGUACCUCCCUCACCCCUUCGAGUGUUGUACACAUAGUUACAGUCAUACUGUUCGUUUGAUGUUAGAUUCAAA
rnacentral:misc_RNA from 1 species